rnacentral:lncRNA from 1 species
CAGUUGAAAACCAGUUCAAUCUUCUUCUCCCACUCUAAGUAAGCAUCAGGAUCAUUCUUCCCAUGGAAUGGAGGGAUUCUAAGCUUGAGAUUGCCUAGGUUAUCAGUAGCUGGUCGCCUGCGGUUGUGAUUUCUACCAUGAUGACUAGCCUGAGAUCCAUCAUCACUUUCAUCAGCUGAAUCUUCUUGAUAAUGUUCUCCAUAAAUCCCACGACCCCUAAGCUCAACUCGUUGCCCUCUUAUAGGUCCAAUGCGUGCUCUCUGAGCUCCAGCAGCAACCGCGUCCCUCUCUUGCCCUGCAUUAUCACCAGGUAAAGUUUCAUUAGCUUGUUGAGCACGGUUGUAAGUAUUUUGCAUUCUUCUGGUUAUCUCAGCUAUCAUAGCCUCAAAUUGAACUUGGUUGAGGUUGAUUUGCUGGACAGCCGGUUCUCCUGAACUCUCAGGUUGCUUUCCAUCUCGCCUCUCUUCACUCAUUGUUCCUGAAAUAGUUAGAGAAAACACAAAGCCAGGAACAAAAUUAUCUCUCUCUCACUCAAGUUUUCAAAUCGCCAAGUCUCAGCUCUUCCCACAAGUUCAGUUGAAAAACAAAGUUCUACACUUAAGAUCUAGAACUAAAACCCCAAUGAAUCAGAUAGAAAGUAUUAAGAGAUUUAGGCACCAGCUGACUUUACCACCCUGAGCUGGAUUUCUCUUCAGCUAGCUGGAUUACUCUUCAGCUAUAUAUAUUUUUUUUUUUUGAUUUGGAUCAGAGAUCUCUUUUUUUUUUUUUUUUUGAUUUGCAGGGUUGGCUCAGCUGGCUUACAACAGAUAGAAAGAUAAGAGAAGUGUUUGAUGGAAUGAAUGAUCUGAGUAGUCAAAUUGCAAACCCUAACCUUCAAGUGGCUCUGAUACCACUUGGUGCAGCCUGGGUAUGGCUUAAACUCUGGAUCACUUGAAGGUGGAUGGAUAGAGGGUGUUCUAAGAGGCUACUAGCUCUCCUUUGAACUAUGAACGUCUCCCUGAGCCUGUGGGUUGGCGCCAAGGAUGGUUUGCUACUCAAAGACACAAGAUCACCUUGUAUUGUCUAAGAUGGGAUUCACAGGAAUUCCUUCCUUUAAGUGAGAUCAAUGUUCUAGAGCUGAACAGAGAAAGCUAGAGACAAGACAACAAAGUUGACUGAAUAAUUCUUAGAUUGAAAGUUAGAAAACAAAGCUGCAGCCCCCAUGUUCUUAAAGUAAAAAUCGAAAACCCUAAUACUAAACCAAGGUGGUUUAAUUCUAAUUCUAAUCCUAAUUGUCUUUGGUUUAAAUUAAAUGAAAGCCCAAUAACCAAACCCUUACAAAGUAAUUAAAUUAAACCAACAAGCUGGUUUAUCUUGAUCUCCUUGCCUUGAACCAAGGCCCACGGUUUUGGCUAUCUCCUGGAGCCUCUCCUCUUGUGCUCUCAAUCUUGAUCUGGUUACUGGUCCACUCCACAAGCUGGCUAGCUCAUUUGGUUCUUCUCUGCUCAAGUCUGGUUCUUCUCUUCUCAAGUCUGGCUCUUCUCUGCUCAAGUCUGGCUCUCCCUCAUCAGACUCACUCAGCUCUCCAAUGUCUCUACUCAUGGCUACACCAUCCCCUCCUCCUUUAAAAGGAUUUGACCUCAAAUCCAAAUCAUCUGCAAUAAAAGGAUCCAAGUCAGAAACAUUGAAAGUAGAACUGAUUGUAUAUUUCCCUUCAAGAUCAAUCUGGUAGGCAUUGUUGUUGAUUCUCUUCAGCACUUUGAAAGGUCCAUCUUUCCUUGGCAGCAACUUUGAUUUCCUCUCAACAGGAAACCUCUCUUUUCUCAUGUGAAUCCACACAAGAUCACCCGGUUCAAGUACUAGCUCCUUGCGCCCCUGGUUCUUCUGUCUCUCAUACAUCUUGGUCCUCUCCUCAAUGUUCUUCCUGACCUGUUCAUGCAAAGACAAAACAAACUCGGCCUUUUGCUUGCCAUCAAGGUUAGUUUGUUCUUUUAAAGGUAAAGCAAAUAAGUCAAGAGGAGACAAUGGAUUAAAACCAUAAACAACUUGAAAAGGAGAAAGUUAAGUAGCUGAAUGCACUGCUCUGUUAUAUGCAAACUCUACAUGUGGUAAACAAUCCUCCCAUGUCCUAAUGUUACUCUUAAUGAUGGCACGCAAAAGAGUAGACAAUGUCCUAUUGACUGAUUCAGUUUGACCAUCAGUUUGGGGAUGACAAGUAGUUGAAAACAAUAGCUUAGUUCCCAACUUUCCCCACAGAGUUUUCCAGAAGUAGCUAAGGAACUUAGUAUCUCUAUCAGAAACUAUAGUCCUAGGCAUACCAUGCAAUCUAACAACUUCUCUAAAGAAUAGAUCAGCUACCAAAGAUGCAUCAUCAGUUUUAUGACAAGGUAUGAAGUGAGCCAUCUUAGAAAAUCUAUCAACAACCACAAAGAUGCUAUCUCUUCCUUUCCUAGUUCUAGGCAAUCCUAAGACAAAGUCCAUAGAGAUAUCAAUCCAUGGUGCAGUAGGAAUAGGGAGAGGUGUAUACAAACCUGUUGGUUGGACCUUAGACUUGGCUUGCUUGCACACGACACACCUUGAGCACACACGCUCCACUUCUUUCUUCAUGCUCGGCCAGUAGAAGUGCUCCUGCAAGGUGGAGAGUGUUUUGGCGACCCCAAAGUGUCCCAUCAGCCCUGCGUGAGCUUCCCUAACAUACAAUUCUCUCAAAGAACCACUAGGAACACACAGGCGGUUAUCAUAGAAAAGAAAUCCUUUUACUUGAUAGAAUUUUCCACUAGCAUGUUUCUCAGAUUCUCUAAACACAUCUUUAAACUCAGGAUCAUUAGCAUAGCAAGAUUUGAUAUGUUCAAAUCCUAAGAGUUUAGUUUCCAUUGAAGAUAAAAGAGUAUACCUUCUGGAGAGUGCAUCAGCCACUACAUUCUCCUUACCUUUCUUGUAGUGGAUGACAUAAGGAAAGGUCUCAAUGAACUCCACCCACCUGGCGUGUCUCUUGUUCAGCUUCUGUUGCCCUUUGAAAUGUUUAAGGGAUUCAUGAUCUGUAUGGAUCACAAACUCCUUAGGCCACAAGUAAUGUUGCCACACUUGUAAAGCUCUCACCAAGGCAUACAGCUCCUUGUCAUAGGUAGGAUAGUUUAAGGUGGCGCCUCCUAGUUUCUCACUGAAAUAAGCUAUGGGUUUCUUAUCCUGCAUCAACACAGCUCCAAUUCCAAUACCAGAUGCAUCACAUUCAAUUUCAAAAGUCUUAGAAAAGUCAGGAAGUGCAAGUAAGGGAGCACUUGUUAACUUCUCUUUUAGCAUUUGAAAUGCCUCUUCUUGUGCUGGUCCCCAAGUGAAACCUACACUCUUCUUGACUACUUCAGUCAGUGGUGCUGCAACUGUACUGAAAUCUCUCACAAACCUCCGGUAGAAGCCAGCAAGUCCAUGAAAACUUCUGACCUCUCCAAUAGAUUUAGGAAUCGGCCACUCCCUGAUAGCUUUCACCUUUUCCUCAUCAACCUGUAUGCCCUGUGAAGUCACAACAAAACCUAAAAAGACAAGGUUAUCUGUGCCAAAAGAGCACUUCUUAUAGUUAGCAUACAGAUUUUCUUUCUAAGCACAUCUAGAACUUGCUUCAAGUGGUUAACAUGUUCUUUCAUAGUCUUGCUGUAAAUCAGGAUAUCAUCGAAGUAAACAACUACAAAUCGUCCUAUCAAAGCUCUCAAGACGUGAUUCAUUAAUCUCAUGAAAGUACUAGGUGCAUUAGUAAGCCCAAAAGGCAUCACAAGCCAUUCAUACAAUCCUAACUUAGUUUUAAAGGCAGUUUUCCACUCAUCUCCUUCUUUCAUUCUAAUCUGGUGGUAACCACUCUUUAAAUCAAUUUUAGAGAAGACACAUGAACCAUGUAACUCAUCUAGCAUAUCAUCUAAGCGAGGAAUAGGAUGCCUGUACUUAACUGUUAUGUUGUUGAUGGCUCUGCAGUCCACACACAUCCUCCAGCUUCCAUCUUUUUUUGGCACCAAAGGACAGGUACAGCACAAGGACUCAUACUCUCCCUGAUAUGUCCCUUCUCCAUUAGCUCAUUGACUUGUUUCUGAAGCUCCUUGGUCUCCACAGGGUUGGUCCUGUAUGCUGGACGGUUUGGUAAAGUAGCUCCUGGUACAAAGUCAAUCUGGUGCUCUAUUCCCCUAAUAGGCGGCAGACCUAUGGGAUUGUCCUCUGGGAACACAUCUCUAUACUCCUGCAAAAGACACUCAAUCUCCUCUGGAAUCUCAGGAGCAGGGUUAGUAGUAGAGCUCAACAAUUCUUUGUAAACUACUAGUAUAAAAUUUGAUUGUUCAAUCACAGCAGUUUUGAUAUCUUUAGCAGUAGCAAAGAGGUUGAGUUUACUUACCUGGCUGGUCUCUUCAAGAAGCAAGGACUUGCUGGCGGCCUUGGACUCUCCUCUCUUCAUUUUGAGAUGCAACUGAUCCUGGUGUACCUCCUGAGGGGUCAUUGGCACCAGGGUAACUUGUUUCUCCUUAUGAAUAAAAGUGUAUCUGUUGGUAAAGCCAUCAUGUACUGAUCUCUUAUCAUACUGCCAUGGACGUCCAAGAAGGAUGUGGCUAGCUUCCAGGGGUGCUACAUCACAAGUGAUCUCAUCCUGGUACUUUCCCACUGAUAGCAAUACCUUCACUUGCUUGGUGAUCUUUAAUCCUCCCUCAUCAUUGAUCCAUUGCAACAGAUAUGGCUUAGGAUGCUUGAACACUAGAAGACCCAACUUCUCCACCAACUCAGCACUUGCUACAUUAGUACAACUUCCUCCAUCAAUGAUCAAGCUACAAACCUUUUCUUGAAUCAAGCAUCUGGUGUGAAACAAGUUUUCCCUUUGCUCAUCUUCUUUGGUUUUAGGUUGAGCAUUGAGAAGUCUCCUGGUGACUAAUAGCUCUCCACGGACAGGGUACUCCACGCCUUCCUCAUCAGACUCUUGGCCGGCGUCCUCCUCUUCAGAUAUCACCUCCCCGUCGGCUAAGAUAGUCAUCACCUUCUUGUUGGUGCACUCAUUAGCAUAGUGACCAAAACCAUGACACUUGAAACACUUAAUGUUCCUGGUCUUAGUAGGUGUGGCUACUCCUUUACCCUUGUCAUCUCUCUUGGUCUCCACUGAAGAAGAACCUUCUUUGGACUUAUCCCCUGGCUUAUCUUCCUUGGAGUAAGCCGGUUUUGAAGGCAGGAGUGUAUGAAGACCGGGUAGAGCUCUUCUCUUGUUCUGCUGCUCAAUCAAAAUAGCCUUAUGUAGCAGUUCAUCCAUGUCCUCAUACUCUUGUAGCUCCAACCUAUCUUGUAUAUCUCUGUUAAGACCUCCUUGGAAUCUAGCCAUAGUAGCUUCUACUUCUUCUUCUAAGUCAGCUUUCAACAUGAGUGUUUCCAUCUCCUGGUGAUAGUCCUCUACACUCUUAGAUCCUUGAGAAAGCCUUCUCAACUUCUGGUGUAGAUCUCUUCCAUAGUGAUUAGGAACAAAUCUCUUCUUCAUCACAGUUUUCAUCUCAAACCAGGAAGCUACCUGAGGCUCUCCAUUGCGUCUCCUGGUAGUAGCAAUCUGAUCCCACCAGCUAUAGCAUAACCACAGAAUUCAGUAGCUGCUAGUCUCACUUUUCUCUCCUCAGUGAUGAACUGUUGGCAAUUGAAAACCAGUUCAAUCUUCUUCUCCCACUCUAAGUAAGCAUCAGGAUCAUUCUUCCCAUGGAAGGGAGGGAUUCUAAGCUUGAGAUUGCCUAGGUUAUCAGUAGCUGGUCGCCUGCGGUUGUGAUUUCUACCAUGAUGACUAGCCUGAGAUCCAUCAUCACUUUCAUCAGCUGACUCUUCUUGAUAAUGUUCUCCAUAAAUCCCACGACCCCUAAGCUCAACUCGUUGCCCUCUUAUAGGUCCAAUGCGUGCUCUCUGAGCUCCAGCAGCAACCGCGUCCCUCUCUUGCCCUGCAUUAUCACCAGGUAAAGUUUCAUUAGCUUGUUGAGCACGGUUGUAAGUAUUUUGCAUUCUUCUGGUUAUCUCAGCUAUCAUAGCCUCAAAUUGAACUUGGUUGAGGUUGAUUUGCUGGACAGCCGGUUCUCCUGAACUCUCAGGUUGCUUUCCAUCUCGCCUCUCUUCACUCAUUGUUCCUGAAAUAGUUAGAGAAAACACAAAGCCAGGAACAAAAUUAUCUCUCUCUCACUCAAGUUUUCAAAUCGCCAAGUCUCAGCUCUUCCCACAAGUUCAGUUGAAAAACAAAGUUCUACACUUAAGAUCUAGAACUAAAACCCCAAUGAAUCAGAUAGAAAGUAUUAAGAGAUUUAGGCACCAGCUGACUUUACCACCCUGAGCUGGAUUUCUCUUCAGCUAGCUGGAUUACUCUUCAGCUAUAUAUAUUUUUUUUUUUUUGAUUUGGAUCAGAGAUCUCUUUUCUUUUUUUUUUUUUGAUUUGCAGGGUUGGCUCAGCUGGCUUACAACAGAUAGAAAGAUAAGAGAAGUGUUUGAUGGAAUGAAUGAUCUGAGUAGUCAAAUCGCAAACCCUAACCUUCAAGUGGCUCUGAUACCACUUGGUGCAGCCUGGGUAUGGCUUAAACUCUGGAUCACUUGAAGGUGGAUGGAUAGAGGGUGUUCUAAGAGGCUACUAGCUCUCCUUUGAACUAUGAACGUCUCCCUGAGCCUGUGGGUUGGCGCCAAGGAUGGUUUGCUACUCAAAGACACAAGAUCACCUUGUAUUGUCUAAGAUGGGAUUCACAGGAAUUCCUUCCUUUAAGUGAGAUCAAUGUUCUAGAGCUGAACAGAGAAAGCUAGAGACAAGACAACAACGUUGACUGAAUAAUUCUUAGAUUGAAAGUUAAGAAAACAAAGCUGCAGCCUCCAUGUUCUUAAAGUAAAAAUCGAAAACCCUAAUACUAAACCAAGGUGGUUUAAUUCUAAUUCUAAUCCUAAUUGUCUUUGGUUUAAAUUAAAUGAAAGCCCAAUAACCAAACCCUUACAAAGUAAUUAAAUUAAACCAACAAGCUGGUUUAUCUU